UACGUAGGGUGCGAGCGUUGUCCGGAAUUAUUGGGCGUAAAGAGCUCGUAGGCGGUGUGUCACGUCGGCCGUGAAAACCUGCAGCUUAACUGUGGGCGUGCGGUCGAUACGGGCAUCACUGGAGUUCGGCAGGGGAGACUGGAAUUCCUGGUGUAGCGGUGAAAUGCGCAGAUAUCAGGAGGAACACCGGUGGCGAAGGCGGGUCACUGGACCGGCAUUGACGCUGGAGGUGCGAAAGCCGUGGGGAGCAAACAGG
rnacentral:rRNA from 1 species